rnacentral:tRNA from 1 species
UGCAUCGGCCGAGAAUCGAACCCGGGCCGCCCGUGUGGCAGGCGAGCAUUCUACCACUGAACCACCGAUGC